UUCUAGUGUCUACUUCCUAGGCAGUUAGCACUGCCUUUUUUUUUCCCGCCAGGCUUAGAAUUCAUUAAUUGAGAAUGUCAGUUCACUUCAUUCUGCUUGGUUUUACCAGUGAAAAAUGGAAGGCAAUUAUUGGCAUAGAAAUACUUUAAUAAGCUUUAGAGCAAAAGGAGCUUUCGUUCAAAUUCCAGCACAACCACUUACUAUCUAAGGGACUUCAAACACUAAUCCAGGGUAGCCUCUCUUGUAAAGUGAAAAUAAACAUGUCACAUCACAGAAUUCUGGAGAUGUUUGAAUACCAUCCACAUCCCGACUGCAUUGAAGGACUCACCUGUCAGAACUCACAUUUCCACUCCACCCUUGGAGAUUUCCGCAACCACAAAGAUGUUCCGUGGAACAUGGAUGGAACCUCGAAUGUGGAACAAAGAUGCUCCUAGUAACUACUACGGCCAUAAUGACCUGCUUUACGGCAGACAUCAUGUUGGCGUGGGAUACAAAGACCAACAAGAUGGCGCUGCUCCCAGAUGACCAGCUGGAAGGCCACGGGCGUCGGGGGCGCCUCUCACAGGGACUGAUCAACUUCUGUGCAGACACAGGUGGGAUGCAGGAAUGCAAUGCAUAUGGCAUCCAUUAAACACCCCACAGAACCAUCUGCCCAGCGGCAAGCACUUGGGAAGAGGCCUUCUUGUACAGAGCUUUGCUGAGCAGGUGGUAGCUGCAACUUUGGCUUUCUGAGGAGUAGCAGUCCUGAGGCUGUGUACGAUGACAGUGGAGGUCACUCUUUGCGGUGUUCAGUAGGAGAGUGGUGACAGUGACCACAGUGAUGGGAAUGGUUUCUCUUCAGGCCCAUUCUGGGAUCAGGCCUGGGGGCUUUUUUCCCUGGACACUCAGUAUCGGAACCCCUGCCAACGUUUUUCAACGAAUUGCUGUUCUGAAUGCUGUACUUGGAGCCGUCCUCGACUGCUUUUAGGAACUCUGCCUGAGACAGUAGAGGAGAAGUGGUGACCGCGAUGAACACCCUGAACACCCUUCCCAAGUAUUUUCCCUGUCCUCUUCCAUGUUUAGUCAGGGUCAGGGCAUGUGACCAAAAAAAAAAAAAAAUACAGAGGAAAUAACUGUGUGGCUUCCCCAGGCUAGUUUAUGAAGAUGUAGCUUCUAGGUGGGCUUCCUGACCUUCUCUGGGGGACACCAGCCGACAACUUGUGAGAAAACUGAAGUAGCACUGUGGCAAUGCUAAAAUGAGGAGGACCCACUUGAGUGCUGCACGAGUGAGCCACCUCAGAGGGAUCUUCCUUUCUCCCUCACCGGUCAAUACACAGCUGCCCAACUGUGCUACCAAUGAACGCUUGACUCGCAGAUGCUGUGAAAGCAAGGAAAUAUGGUUAUGUUGAGCAACCAAGUCUUGUAAUAAUUUAUUAUGAAGCAGUAGCUAAACCGAAGCAUAGCAUUUGCAGAUGGUUUGUUUCUGUAGGGCAAGGGAAAACUGAACCUGUUCACAAUAAAAAGAAAGGGACAGAGCCCAUGUAGAGGAUUGCUGGUCUUCGAGAUGAACUAAGCAGAGCUCAGAGAGGGAGG